GGUUUUGCCGUGUUGCCCAGGCUGGUCUCGAAGUCCUAGGCUCAAUGAUCCACCUGCCUCAGCCUCCCAAAGCGCUGGAUUAAAGACGUGAGCCACCAUGCCUGGCUGCUGUGAUAUUGAUAGACCGUGAUGAUAUUAUGCUAAGUGAAAGAAGCCAGCCAUGGAAGACCACAUAUUACAAUGCGGCCCCUUGUGACCUGCCUUUCUGGCCACACUCAGUUUCUACAUCUGCAAAAUGGGCCAGCAACACUGGUGCUGAUGACAUCCUGGGAUGCAGAGGACACCCCAAAUGUCCACAGGGCCACGGGUGAGAAACCCUGCUUGAGGGAGUAAUGACUUUUGGCCAAAGGAUGGCCCAGAUGGGGCCCUAGGUCUGAGGACUUCGGGGCCGGCCAUGUGGGUAUGAGGGGGCAGGAAGGGAGGGGGCCCAGGACUGUGGCUUUGUAUCCCCUGGCUAUGGAAGGUCCUUCACCUGCUCUUCUCCCCAUGUUUUCCUUGAGGAAUCUUGACCGACAAUCCCACGUUCCUACUAAUUUCACUCAUCCUUCAAGAUCUGCCUCCUCCAACUCCAAGAAGCCCUCCUGGGCUGCCCCAGGGUUACUGGUGCUUACUCUACUUUCCAUCUUCCAACUUGAGAUGACAUUCUGCCUCCAUCACCCUCCCACAUAACAUCCCACUGGGCUGCACCACGGCCCAUUCCCUGAACUCUGAGUGCACUCUCCCCUCUCCAGGCCUUUGCACACGCAGUUCCCCCCCUCCUGGGACCCCCUCCCUACCUUCCCGUUAUCAACUUCUUGUGCUCUCCCACAUCCUCCAGCACAGCUGGACAGUUCCUGCUCUGGCUCCCAUAUGCCUUGACUGAUUCAGAGCCUGCCCCCUUCUUCACAUCGUGAGUGUGCUGAGGGCAUGGAUGGAGGCUGUGUGAGCCAGAGUGAGUCACUAACCCUCUCUGAGCCUCUCUCGCAUCACUGCCUUUCCAGCCCCCAGCACAGGCUUGGGACGUAGGCUGCUGACAAUGGACUGAACUAUGUCCCAUGUGUGUUCUUACUGGGUGCCACUCUGUCCUGCCAGGGGUAGGGUCAUGGUCAUAGACACUGGGAUGUCCUGUGGGCCUUAGAAAGUGAUGUGCUGGGAAAUGCUUAACAACUGGCUCUCUGAAGGAAAAAAAUCAACCUUGAUUUGUAGCAUUUGCCAAUUUCCAUGAUCUAAAUAUUUCCACAAUUUCCAACGUCAAGCUACCAACAAGAACACAGAGCUGGGAAGAGAUAGAUGCCCACAGCCAGCUCCCACGAGCUGGUGCGAGCUGACUCCAGCACACCAUUGGCUUUAGUUUAUCACGCCCAACCACACUGUGAGGAAAUUGAGGCUCAGAGAUGGGAGAAAUUUGCUCAAAGCCCUGCAGCUGGUCAAUAGCAGAGCUGGGACUAGAAUCUGGGUCUCUGGCUGUUGACGUUGGUGAGAAAGUAUCCACACAGGCAUGAUAGCUCCUCAUGGACCAACACAAGCUUCAAGCAUUGUUUAAACGCACUGGGUCCCAGCCCAACAUUUUGGCAGUUAGGGCUGCCCUCUCCUUCCUGAGCAGCCUGGAACCCCAGGCUCAGGGCUAAGCCCUGAGCACAUCGGAGCCUCAGGAAGUGCCACUGGGAUGUUAGCUGCAAAAUACUUCUCCUGUGAGCUGAACAUCUGUCUUGGGUGGACCAGAGAUCACGCCCAUUUGGCUGUGCAUUCAAAUGCCCUGCUGGCGGCAGCCUCCACUUCCUGGUGAUUUCUGCUUUCUUUUUUGCCAAGUCACAUCUGUUUGCCAUCUGUAGGUAGCUGAUCACAUUUCAAAAAGCUGGCUGGGGUUUUAUGCAUAUUUCAUCCACUGGGAGAUUUUGGAGAAGGAAAGCUCUCUUUAAGAUCAAAAUGAGCUGAAGAGGUGCUCAGCUGGGUCACCCAGACAGUGAAGAUUAGAAAGGCCCUAAUUCCAGCCUGGGCAACAUAGUGAGACUUUGUCUCUACUUAAAAAAAAAAAAAAAUCAGCUGGGUCUGGUGGCAUGCAUCUGUAGUCCCUGCUACUCUGGAGGCUGAGGUAGGAGGACUGCUUGAGCUCAGGAGGUUGAGGCUGCAGUGAGCUAUGAUUGUGCCACUGCACUCCAGCCUGAGUGACAGGGUGAGGAAGCAUUGUCUAAAAGAGGGGCUAGCAAAUUUUUUUCUGUAAAAGGCCAGAAAGUAAAUAUUUUUAGUUUCAGGGGCCACAGGGUCUCUGGCCUAACUAUUCAACUCAGCCCUUAGAACAUAAGCAGCCCUAGAUGCUGAGUAUGGAUAUGGGUUGUGUUCCAAUAAAACUAUUUGCAAAAUCAGGUGGUAGGCCAGAGUUGGCUGGGAGGGCCACAGUUUGCAGACGCUGAUGGAGAGGAAAGGACUGAGCAUCUUAUCAAAACUACCCCCCACCUCACCCCCACCCAGGGCACCCAUUUGUUGACUGGGCUCUUACUGAAAGCCAGUGGCUGAUGCUGCAACACUGGGGCAGCAGGAGGCUCAUGACUGUGCCCUGCCCUGGCCCUCGCUUUCCACCAUGAUUCCCAUUUAGAGCCACUUUUUUCCUCCCAGAAGUCUUCCUUGAAGACCUCCUCAGCUAAGGCCAAUGCCCUUGUAAUGGCUCUCCCCAGUCCUGGCAUUGCAGAAUGGGAAAGUCAAUAUCACACGUUAACUCAGAGAGGCCUUCCCUGACCACCCAGUCCCAGGACAGCAAACUCCUCCAACACUCCUCAGACCCCCUACCCUGCUUUAUCGACCCCAGUUGCACGUUUCACCUUGGAGGAUAUAUUUUGCAUUUCUGUUUACUUGUUAUUGCCUAUCUCCCCUCCUUGAAUGAAAGUUUUACUCGGGCAGGUACCUUAUCUUCUUCACUGUUUAUAUCUGACAUCUCAGCGGUACCUGGUCUAUAGUAGGUGUUUAAUAAAAAUAUUUGCUAAAAGCAUGAAUGAA